rnacentral:tRNA from 1 species
GGGGAGGUGGCUGAGCGGUCGAAAGCGGCGGACUUGAAAUCCGUUGGCGGGCGCCGCCCGUCCGGGGGUUCGAAUCCCUCCCUCCCCG